CACGUAGGGUGCGAGCGUUGUCCGGAAUUAUUGGGCGUAAAGAGCUCGUAGGCGGUGUGUCGCGUCGGCCGUGAAAACCUGCAGCUUAACUGUGGGCGUGCGGUCGAUACGGGCAUCACUGGAGUUCGGCAGGGGAGACUGGAAUUCCUGGUGUAGCGGUGAAAUGCGCAGAUAUCAGGAGGAACACCGGUGGCGAAGGCGGCUCACUGGACCGGUACUGACGCUGAGGCGCGAAAGCGUGGGGAGCAAACAGG
rnacentral:rRNA from 1 species